rnacentral:rRNA from 1 species
UGGGGAAUAUUGGACAAUGGGCGCAAGCCUGAUCCAGCAAUGCCGCGUGUGUGAAGAAGGCCUGCGGGUUGUAAAGCACUUUAAGCAGGAAAGAAGGGGUGAGGGUUAAGACCCCUCAUCAUUGACGUUACCUGCAGAAUAAGCACCGGCUAACUCCGUGCCAGCAGCCGCGGUAAUACGGAGGGUGCGAGCGUUAAUCGGAAUUACUGGGCGUAAAGCGCGCGUAGGCGGUGGGCUAAGUCCGCUGUGAAAGCCCUGGGCUUAACCUGGGAACGGCAGUGGAUACUGGUCGGCUAGAGUGUGGUAGAGGAUGGCGGAAUUUCCGGUGUAGCAGUGAAAUGCGUAGAGAUCGGAAGGAACACCAGUGGCGAAGGCGGCCAUCUGGACCAACACUGACGCU